rnacentral:rRNA from 1 species
UACAGAGGUCCCAAGCGUUGUUCGGAUUCACUGGGCGUAAAGGGUGCGUAGGCGGCGCGGUAAGUCGGGUGUGAAAUCUUGGAGCUUAACUCCGAAACUGCAUUCGAUACUGCCGUGCUUGAGGACUGGAGAGGAGACUGGAAUUUACGGUGUAGCGGUGAAAUGCGUAGAUAUCGUAAGGAAGACCAGUGGCGAAGGCGGGUCUCUGGACAGUUCCUGACGCUGAUGCACGAAGGCCAGGGGAGCAAACGGG